GUGCUCGCUUCGGCAGCACGUACACUAAAAUUGGAACAAUGCAGAGAAGAUUAGCAUGGUCCCUGUGCAAGGAUGAUGUGCAAAUUUGUGAAGUAUUCCAUAUUAAA
rfam:Tupaia chinensis contig209004, whole genome shotgun sequence.